UGGGGAAUAUUGCACAAUGGGCGCAAGCCUGAUGCAGCAACGCCGCGUGAGGGAUGACGGCCUUCGGGUUGUAAACCUCUUUUAGCAGGGAAGAAGCGAAAGUGACGGUACCUGCAGAAAAAGCGCCGGCUAACUACGUGCCAGCAGCCGCGGUAAUACGUAGGGCGCAAGCGUUAUCCGGAAUUAUUGGGCGUAAAGAGCUCGUAGGCGGUUUGUCGCGUCUGCUGUGAAAUCCCGAGGCUCAACCUCGGGUCUGCAGUGGGUACGGACAGACUAGAGUGCGGUAGGGGAGAUUGGAAUUCCUGGUGUAGCGGUGGAAUGCGCAGAUAUCAGGAGGAACACCGAUGGCGAAGGCAGAUCUCUGGGCCGUAACUGACGCUGAGGAGCGAAAGGGUGGGGAGCAAACAGGCUUAGAUACCCUGGUAGUCCACCCGUAAACGUUGGGAACUAGUUGUGGGGUCCAUUCCACGGAUUCCGUGACGCAGCUAACGCAUUAAGUUCCCCGCCUGGGGAGUACGGCCGCAAGGCU
rnacentral:rRNA from 1 species